AAUAACGACUGUCUGCGGCAGCAUCCACUUGGCACUGGGCUCGACACGAACAGCGAGUCAUGUAUUGACUUAGCGGAGCAGCAUUCAAAUGCCACUUUCACCCACCUACGUUGAGGCUCUCAGUGUGACCGAUGAAAACAGCGCUGGCGCAGCACAGCUCAUUGAUCAGACGAUGAACAGCAGAUAGCAGACUGCAGCUCCAGCUCGAAAACAUCAUCACAUCCGUUCUUGUGAACUCCUCUCUCGAGUUCGAAGUAUCGGCAUUUUGGAUGGUUCAGCAGGACAGCAGGUUUAGGACAGCCCAAUAGAUGCUGCCCAGGCAAGCGGCAGUGACCCUCCUUCUAGAGCGAAUAGAGAAAGGCCACAGAAUGAAUGGUCUUGCCGAGGCCCAUCUCAUCGGCUAGAAUGGUGUCGAUGGCCUGUCGAGGCUCUUCAGUGUGAGCGAUGAAAACAGCGCUGGCGCAGC